CAAGUACUCCCUCUGUCCGGAAUUGCUUGUCAUCAAAAUGGAUGUGUCUAGAACUAAAAUACAUCUAGAUACAUCCAUUUCAAUGACAUGUAUUUUUGGACGGAGGGAGUACAAG
rfam:Triticum aestivum genome assembly, contig: Triticum_aestivum_CS42_TGACv1_scaffold_076277_1DL